GCCCGGGUGGUGGAAUUGGUAGACACGUUGGACUUAAAAUCCAAUGGACCUUGGUCCGUGCGGGUUCAAGUCCCGCCCCGGGUA
rnacentral:tRNA from 1 species